ACUGUUUCUCUGUUUUUUGGCAAAUAUCAAAUUGUAGUAUCUGUUCUUAUCAGUUUAAUAUCUAGUACAUCCUCUAUCCUAGGACAUUGUUUUAAAUGAAUUUCUGGCACUAGGAGUUGGAAUAGAAGCUUGCUCCAUCCACUCCAUGCAUUGGACUGGUAUUGCAGUACUUCCAGGAAUGGUGUGCCCCUU